AGAGUUUGAUUCUGGCUCAGAUUGAACGCUGGCGGCGUGCCUUACACAUGCAAGUCGAACGUGAAAGUACUUUCGGGUACGAGUAAAGUGGCGCACGGGUGAGUAACGCGUGGAUAAUCUACCAAGAAGUUUGGGAUAACAGCUGGAAACGGCUGCUAAUACCGAAUACGCUGCAUAUCUAUCUUAUGUGGGAAAGAUGGCCUCUGCAUAUGCUGUUGCUUUUUGAUGAGUCCGCGUACCAUUAGCUGGUUGGUGGGGUAAAGGCCUACCAAGGCGACGAUGGUUAACUGGUCUGAGAGGAUGAUCAGUCACACUGGAACUGGAACACGGUCCAGACUCCUACGGGAGGCAGCAGUGGGGAAUAUUGCGCAAUGGGCGAAAGCCUGACGCAGCGACGCCGCGUGAGGGAUGAAGGUCUUCGGAUCGUAAACCUCUGUCAGCAGGGAAGAACGGUCACUGUGCUAAUCAGCAGUGAAUUGACGGUACCUGCAAAGGAAGCACCGGCUAACUCCGUGCCAGCAGCCGCGGUAAUACGGAGGGUGCGAGCGUUAAUCGGAAUUACUGGGCGUAAAGCGCUCGUAGGUAGUAUGGCAAGUCAAGGGUGAAAUCCCCGCGCUCAACGUGGGAACUGCCUUUGAAACUGCUACACUUGAGUGUGUGAGAGGAUAGUGGAAUUCCAGGUGUAGGAGUGAAAUCCGUAGAUAUCUGGAGGAACAUCAGUGGCGAAGGCGACUAUCUGGCACAUAACUGACACUGAGGAGCGAAAGCGUGGGUAGCAAACAGGAUUAGAUACCCUGGUAGUCCACGCUGUAAACGAUGGAUACUAGGUG
rnacentral:rRNA from 1 species